rnacentral:rRNA from 1 species
UGAGGAAUAUUGGACAAUGGGCGCAAGCCUGAUCCAGCCAUGCCGCGUGCAGGAAGAAGCAUCUAUGGUGUGUAAACUGCUUUUGUACGGGAAGAAACACUCCUUCGUGAAGGAGCUUGACGGUACCGUAAGAAUAAGGAUCGGCUAACUCCGUGCCAGUAGCCGCGGUAAUACGGAGGAUCCAAGCGUUAUCCGGAAUCAUUGGGUUUAAAGGGUCCGUAGGCGGUUUAGUAAGUCAGUGGUGAAAGCCCAUCGCUCAACGAUGGAACGGCCAUUGAUACUGCUAAACUUGAAUUAUGAAGAAGUAACUGGAAUAGGUAGUGUAGAGGUGAAAUGCUUAGAUAUUAGAAGGAAUACCAAUUGCGAAGGCAGGUUACUGCUAAUGGAUUGACGCUGAUGGACGAAAGCGUGGGGAGCGAACA